rnacentral:rRNA from 1 species
AUUCCAGCUCCAAUAGCGUAUAUUUAAGUUGUUGCAGUUAAAAAGCUCGUAGUUGGAUUUUGGGUCGGGGGCACCGGUCCGCCGUUCCGGUGUGCACUGGUGGCCCCUUCCUUUCUGCCGGGGACGUGCGUCGCACUUAAUUGGGUGGCGUUCGGAGUCGGCGUUGUUACUUUGAAAAAAUUAGAGUGUUCAAAGCAAGCCAUCGCUCUGAAUACAUUAGCAUGGAAUAACAUGAUAGGACUCCGGUCUUAUUUUGUUGGUUUCCGAGACUGGAGUAAUGAUUAAGAGGGACAGUCGGGGGCAUCCGUAUUUCAUUGUCAGAGGUGAAAUUCCUGGAUUUAUGAAAGACGAACUUCUGCGAAAGCAUUUGCCAAGGAUGUUUUCAUCA